UUCCAUAAUGAAAAUACCCUU
rnacentral:piRNA from 1 species